GAUGAACGCUGGCGGCGUGCUUAACACAUGCAAGUCGAACGGUGAAGCAGGAGCUUGCUCUUGUGGAUCAGUGGCGAACGGGUGAGUAACACGUGAGCAACCUGCCCCUGACUCUGGGAUAAGCGCUGGAAACGGCGUCAAAUACUGGAUAUGUGAUGUGACCGCAUGGUCUGCAUCUGGAAAGAAUUUCGGUUGGGAUGGGCUCGCGGCCUAUCAGCUUGUUGGUGAGGUAAUGGCUCACCAAGGCGUCGACGGGUAGCCGGCCUGAGAGGGUGACCGGCCACACUGGGACUGAGACACGGCCCAGACUCCUACGGGAGGCAGCAGUGGGGAAUAUUGCACAAUGGGCGGAAGCCUGAUGCAGCAACGCCGCGUGAGGGAUGACGGCCUUCGGGUUGUAAACCUCUUUAGCAGGGAAGAAGCGAAAGUGACGGUACCUGCAGAAAAAGCACCGGCUAACUACGUGCCAGCCGCCGCUGUAA
rnacentral:rRNA from 1 species